ACAGAGCCAGACUCCAUCUCAAAAAAAAAAAAAAACAAUUUAAUUAAACACACUUUUUCUAAUUCACCCUAACGGACAUAAAUUUUUCUAGGUGUUCAGCAUCCAAUAAUGAAUAUUACUGACAAAUAUCCCUCUCUCAUGUGGCUUACAGUCUCAUGUGUUUAACAGUAUACACACAACCAAAUGAAUGAAGUGUAAAAUUUUACACAGUACAAUGAAAAUCUUAAAUGAUAUGAGAUACUACAAACAAAAUAGAAAGACAAAUUAUACGCUGAAACAAGGUAUAUAGUACAUACAUAACAACAGAGGCUUUUACUCCAGAGUAUGUAAGACGAGUUCAUAUAUCAGCGAGAACAAUAAGAUGUGCCAAGAUAAAUAUGAAAAAGUCUGUAAAGAGAAAAUUUGAAUGACCAAUAAGCAAAUGAAAGAUGCUCAAAUUAAUCAUUUAUUUAAGAAAACUUACUUAAAACAAUACUGAAAAAUAAUUUACACUCAUAGGAUUAAACAGUUUUAAAAGUUGGCUAAUAUGAAGCUGUCAAAAGUUUAAAGGAUGAAAAAUGGGGCAAAAGAACACUAUGCUACUUUCUGAUAGUGUAAGUUCAGGAGAAAUUGGCAAUAUCAAAAAAGUUAAAAAUGGCUGGAAAUUAUGCUCAACAAUUUACUCCAAAAAAAAAAAUGCUUGUAUUUGUACAGAAGGAAAUAUGGCCACUAGUGUUUAUGGCAGUAAUUGUGUGUAAUUAUGAAAACACUAAAACAUCCUAAAAUUUCGAUGUGGUGGUAGAAGAAAAAUCAAUGUAGCUCAUUAGUAUUAGGGAAUAUUACACAGUAAUUGAUUAACAGAUUAAUGCACUAGAGCUACAUAAUUCUCAAAACCAUCCUGUUAAAGGAGAAAGGAAGAGUGCUUUAUGAUGGUAAAGAAAUGUCAUUAUUUGACUUUUAUAAAUACACAAAACCAAUCCCUUACAUUAUUUAUGUGUGGAUAUGUGAGCAGUUAUAUAUAAGCACAAAACUGGAUACAAAAAUAUCUGAAUGUUCACACUAACUUGAGAUUAGUGGAAAAAAAAGAAGUAACCUGUGGAACUUGGCCAUAAACUGGGCUUUUCACAAAAAAAUAGCUAUGAAUCUGAUAAG
rnacentral:lncRNA from 1 species